rnacentral:rRNA from 1 species
AGCGGAGGAAAAGAAACUAACAAGGAUUCCCCUAGUAACUGCGAGUGAAGCGGGAAAAGCUCAAAUUUAAAAUCUGGCGGUCUUUGGCCGUCCGAGUUGUAGUCUGGAGAAGUGCUUUCCGCGCUGGACCGUGUAUAAGUCUCUUGGAACAGAGCGUCAUAGAGGGUGAGAAUCCCGUCUUUGACACGGACUACCAGUGCUUUGUGAUGCGCUCUCGAAGAGUCGAGUUGUUUGGGAAUGCAGCUCAAAAUGGGUGGUAAAUUCCAUCUAAAGCUAAAUAUUGGCGAGAGACCGAUAGCGAACAAGUACCGUGAGGGAAAGAUGAAAAGCACUUUGGAAAGAGAGUUAAACAGUACGUGAAAUUGCUGAAAGGGAAACGCUUGAAGUCAGUCGCGUCUGCCGGAACUCAGCCUUGCUUUUGCUUGGUGCAUUUUCUGGUAGACGGGCCAGCAUCGAUUUUGACCGUCGGAAAAGGGCUAGAGAAAUGUGGCACCUUCGGGUGUGUUAUAGUCUCUGGUCGCAUACGGCGGUUGGGAUCGAGGAACGCAGCGCGCCGCAAGGCAGGGGUUCGCCCACUUUCGCGCUUAGGAUGCUGGCGUAAUGGCUUUAAACGACCCGUCUUGAAACACGGACCAAGGAGUCUAACAUGCCUGCGAGUGUUUGGGUGGUAAACCCGAGCGCGUAAUGAAAGUGAAAGUUGAGACCUCUGUCGUGGAGGGCAUCGACGCCCGGACCUGACGUUCUCUGACGGAUCCGCGGUAGAGCAUGUAUGUUGGGACCCGAAAGAUGGUGAACUAUGCCUGAAUAGGGUGAAGCCAGAGGAAACUCUGGUGGAGGCUCGUAGCGAUUCUGACGUGCAAAUCGAUCGUCAAAUUUGGGUAUAGGGGCGAAAGACUAAUCGAACCAUCUAGUAGCUGGUUCCUGC